AGAAUCAACGCUGGCGGCGUGCCUAACACAUGCAAGUCGCACGAGAAAGGGGAGCAAUCCCUGAGUAAAGUGGCGCACGGGUGAGUAACACGUGAAUGAUCUACCUCCGAGUGGGGAAUAACUGAGAGAAAUCUUAGCUAAUACCGCAUAACACUUACGAGUCAAAGCAGCAAUGCGCUUGGAGAGGAGUUCGCGGCCGAUUAGUUAGUUGGCGGGUAAUGGCCCACCAAGACGAUGAUCGGUA
rnacentral:rRNA from 1 species